rnacentral:tRNA from 1 species
AUAUUUUUAGUAUAAUAAGUAUAAUAAAUUUAGGUUUUAUAGGUUUUUUAAAUAUA